AAUCAACGCUGGCGGCGUGCGUAACACAUGCAAGUCGGACGAGAAAGCGGGGGCAACCCUGCGAGUAAAGUGGCAGACGGGUGAGUAACACGUGAACAACCUACCCCUGAGUGGGGAAUAACCCCGCGAAAGCGGGGCUAAUACCGCAUAACAUCCCUGUUCCGCAUGGAGCGGGGAUCAAAGGCGCAAGUUGCUCGGGGAGGGGUUCGCGGCUGAUUAGCUAGUUGGUGAGGUAACGGCCCACCAAGGCGACGAUCAGUAGCCGGCCUGAGAGGGCGUACGGCCACACUGGAACUGAGACACGGUCCAGACUCCUACGGGAGGCAGCAGUGGGGAAUUUUGCGCAAUGGGCGAAAGCCUGACGCAGCAACGCCGCGUGGAGGAUGAAGGUCUUCGGAUCGUAAACUCCUGUCAGUGGGGACGAAAGCCCUGAAAAGGGUUUGACUGUACCCGCUGAGGGAGCCACGGCUAACUCCGUGCCAGCAGCCGCGGUAAUACGGAGGUGGCAAGCGUUGUUCGGAAUUACUGGGCGUAAAGGGCGCGUAGGCGGCAUGGCAAGUCAGAUGUGAAAGCCCCGGGCUUAACUCGGGAAUUGCAUCUGAAACUGCUUUGCUUGAGUCCUGGAGGGGGUAGUGGAAUUCCCAGUGUAGCGGUGAAAUGCGUAGAUAUUGGGAGGAACACCGGUGGCGAAGGCGGCUACCUGGACAGUGACUGACGCUGAGGCGCGAAAGCCAGGGGAGCAAACGGGAUUAGAUACCCCGGUAGUCCUGGCUGUAAACGAUGGGCACUUGGUGUCGGGGGUAUUGAGUCCCCCGGUGCCGGAGUUAACACGUUAAGUGCCCCGCCUGGGGAGUACGGUCGCAAGACUG
rnacentral:rRNA from 1 species